UACGAAGGUCCCGAGCGUUAUCCGGAUUUAUUGGGCUUAAAGGGUGCGUAGGCGGGUUAUUAAGUCAGUGGUGAAAGCCUUCAGCUCAACUGAAGAAUUGCCAUUGAUACUGAUGAUCUUGAGUACGAUUGAGGUAGGCGGAAUGUGUCAUGUAGCGGUGAAAUGCUUAGAUAUGACACAGAACACCGAUUGCGAAGGCAGCUUACUAAGUCGUAACUGACGCUGAUGCACGAAAGCGUGGGGAGCAAACAGG
rnacentral:rRNA from 1 species